rnacentral:rRNA from 1 species
UCCUGGCUCAGAACGAACGCUGGCGGCGGGCCUCAUACAUGCAAGUCGAGCGCGAAAGUCCGCAAGGAUGAGUAAAGCGGCGCACGGGUGAGUAACACGUGGAUAAUCUACCCUUUGGAUUGGAAUAACCUGUCGAAAGACGGGCUAAUGCCGAGUAAGCUCUCGAGAGCGUGAAGCUUUUGCGAGGAAAGAUGGCGCAAGCUAUCGCCGAUGGAUGAGUCUGCGUCCCAUUAGUUAGUUGGUGGGGUAAUGGCUUACCAAGACAAUGAUGGGUACCUGGUCUGAGAGGAUGACCAGGCACACUGGAACUGAAACACGGUCCAGACUCCUACGGGAGGCAGCAGUAGGGAAUAUUGCGCAAUGGACGAAAGUCUGACGCAGCCACGCCGCGUGAGUGAGGAAGGCCUUCGGGUUGUAAAGCUCUGUCGCCUGGGAAAAACGGCUAUCUGGGGAAAGUUCAGGUAGCGUGAUGGUACCAGGAGAGGAAGCACCGGCAAACUCUGUGCCAGCAGCCGCGGUAAUACAGAGGGUGCAAGCGUUGUUCGGAAUUACUGGGCGUAAAGCGUGCGUAGUCGGUAUUGAGAGUCGCGGGUGAAAUCCCAGGGCUUAACCCUGGAACUGCCUGCGAGACCUCAGUACUAGAGUGUGAGAGGGGAUAGUGGAAUACCCAGUGUAGCGGUGAA